UCCGUAAGGAUGAACCUGCGGAAGGAUCAUUAACGAGUUAGGGUCUCUCUGGCCCGACCUCCCAACCCUUUGUCUACUUGACCAUCGUUGCUUCGGCGAGCCCGUCCUCACGGACCGCCGGAGGGAUCUUUACUGGCCCUCUGGUCCGCGCUCGUCGGCAGCCCAACCUUUAAAAUCUUUAACUAAACGUGCCUUAAUCUAAGUACAAUUAUUAAAUAAAAGCAAAACUUUCAACAACGGAUCUCUUGGUUCUGGCAUCGAUGAAGAACGCAGCGAAAUGCGAUAAGUAAUGCGAAUUGCAGAAUUCCAGUGAGUCAUCGAAUCUUUGAACGCACAUUGCGCCCUUUGGUAUUCCGAAGGGCAUGCCUGUUCGAGCGUCAUUAUCACCCCUCAAGCCCUCGGCUUGGUGUUGGACGGUUUGGUGGAGGCCCCCUCGGGGGCUCCUGCCCCUCCCAAAGACAAUGACGGCGGCCUCGUUGGACCCCCGGUACACUGAGUUCUUCACGGGACCACGUAUCGGACACAUGGGUUUACCGGACACGGUCUGCCUCCCCUCAGGGAGAAUCUUUCUAAGGUUGACCUCGGAUCAGGUAGGGAUACCCGCUGAACUUAGGCAUAUCAUAAAACCGAGGAA
rnacentral:rRNA from 1 species